rnacentral:rRNA from 1 species
UACGAGGGGGGCAAAUGUUGUUCGGAAUCACUGGGCGUAAAGGGAGCGUAGGCGGGCUUCUAAGUUGGAUGUUUAACCCCGGGGCCCAACCCCGGAUCGGCAUCCAAAACUGGAAGUCUUGAAUAGUGGAGAGGACGGCGGAAUUCCCGGUGUAGCGGUGAAAUGCGUAGAGAUCGGGAGGAAGGCCGGUGGCGAAGGCGGCGCUCUGGACAGUUACUGACACUGAGGCACGAAGGCCAGGGGAGCAAACGGG